UACGAAGGGGGCUAGCGUUGCUCGGAAUCACUGGGCGUAAAGCGCACGUAGGCGGCUUUUUAAGUCAGGGGUGAAAUCCUGGAGCUCAACUCCAGAACUGCCUUUGAUACUGAGAAGCUUGAGUCCGGGAGAGGUGAGUGGAACUGCGAGUGUAGAGGUGAAAUUCGUAGAUAUUCGGAAGAACACCAGUGGCGAAGGCGGCUCACUGGUCCGGUACUGACGCUGAGGUGCGAAAGCGUGGGGAGCAAACAGG
rnacentral:rRNA from 1 species